UAUUUGUUUAAUCAUCGUAAAAAUAUACUCCAACCAAGUAAUAUUUUCUUGAUUGAAGAAUUUUUAUACUUAUUUUAAGACAACAUUCUUGGUUGGAGUACAUUUUUACUAAGAUUAAACAAAUAAUGUUCUCGGGGGGAUACAAACACGCAGAUACUUAAAAACAGUAUUUUUUGUUUUCAGUGUAAAUCUAAUAACAUUUCAUUCAGUGAAUUUAAUGUCAUUUGCAAACUUGGAAUAUUUAUCUUAAUAAACUUAGCUAGAUUUUAAAACUUACAGGAAUCAAUGCAAAUAUAAUGGUUGGAGAUGGAGUAAAGAACAAAGUUUUCUUCUAGCAGUUUUUUAUUCCAAAUAGUUGUAAAUUUAAUUUUUAGGUUAAGGAAAGUUUAAUUACAUAUUUUAUACUUUUAGCCAAAUUGUUGAGUUUUAUAGAAACCUACAGGAAAAUGAUGAAUACCCUACAGGGAAAAAGAUCUUCAAGGUGUUUGUUGAAAGAACAUCAAUUAAAUUACAGGUCAAUAAUAUCCUAGAAUCCAAUCAUGAUGAAGUGUCAAAUCUAAAAAGGAAGCGUGAGGAUGUUCAGGACGAUAGGAACCAUGGAAACACAAUUUUUAUUCGAUGGAAGGAUAUAAAGGUGGCCGACUACACACAUUCAAUAGAAAUGAAACAGAAUGAAGAAAAAAACAAUCACGAAGACAUUAAACAAGAUUAAUAAAGAAAAAUUUAAAAAAAUAGUAAUAUUAUUGUAUUUGAGUUUUACAUGUGAGUAAAUGUAAAUUUUUAAGAUUGAAUGCGCGAGUACUCGGCCAGGUUUUACUGGGAUUUCCCUUGGCCGCUGCAUUAAUAUAGGAAAUACAGGCAGAUGCAGUACGAUUCGCGAAGUCGGGCCCAGCCGCAUAAAGAACGUAAAAAAUGUUGAUAUUUUUUAUUUACUCUUUAAUAAAACGUAAUUUAUUAAAAUUUUA